rnacentral:tRNA from 1 species
CCUGGUGGCUCAGAGGGUAAAGCAUCUGCCUGCAAUGCAGGAGACCCAGGUUCGAUCCCUGGGUCAGGA